rnacentral:rRNA from 1 species
UACGUAGGGGGCAAGCGUUGUCCGGAAUCAUUGGGCGUAAAGCGCGCGUAGGCGGCCAGAUAAGUCCGGUGUGAAAGUCACAGGCUCAACCUGUGAAUGCCGCUGGAAACUGUCUGGCUUGAGUCCGGAAGGGGCGAGUGGAAUUCCGUGGUGUAGCGGUGAAAUGCGCAGAUAUCAGGAGGAACACCAAUGGCGAAGGCAGCUCGCUGGAACGGUACUGACGCUGAGGCGCGAAAGCGUGGGGAGCGAACAGG